GGCAGCACAGAAGAGCUUGCUCUUUGGGUGGCGAGUGGCGGACGGGUGAGUAAUGUCUGGGAAACUGCCCGAUGGAGGGGGAUAACUACUGGAAACGGUAGCUAAUACCGCAUAACGUCGCGAGACCAAAGUGGGGGACCUUCGGGCCUCACACCAUCGGAUGUGCCCAGAUGGGAUUAGCUAGUAGGUGGGGUAAUGGCUCACCUAGGCGACGAUCCCUAGCUGGUCUGAGAGGAUGACCAGCCACACUGGAACUGAGACACGGUCCAGACUCCUACGGGAGGCAGCAGUGGGGAAUAUUGCACAAUGGGCGCAAGCCUGAUGCAGCCAUGCCGCGUGUAUGAAGAAGGCCUUCGGGUUGUAAAGUACUUUCAGCGGGGAGGAAGGCGGUGAGGUUAAUAACCUUGCCGAUUGACGUUACCCGCAGAAGAAGCACCGGCUAACUCCGUGCCAGCAGCCGCGGUAAUACGGAGGGUGCAAGCGUUAAUCGGAAUUACUGGGCGUAAAGCGCACGCAGGCGGUCUGUUAAGUCAGAUGUGAAAUCCCCGGGCUUAACCUGGGAACUGCAUUUGAAACUGGCAGGCUUGAGUCUCGUAGAGGGGGGUAGAAUUCCAGGUGUAGCGGUGAAAUGCGUAGAGAUCUGGAGGAAUACCGGUGGCGAAGGCGGCCCCCUGGACGAAGACUGACGCUCAGGUGCGAAAGCGUGGGGAGCAAACAGGAUUAGAUACCCU
rnacentral:rRNA from 1 species